rnacentral:rRNA from 1 species
AGCGAACGCUGGCGGCAGGCCUAACACAUGCAAGUCGAGCGGGGUUUUCGGACCUAGCGGCGGACGGGUGAGUAAUGCGUAGGAAGCUACCCGAUAGAGGGGGAUACCAGUUGGAAACGACUGUUAAUACCGCAUAAUGUCUACGGACCAAAGUGUGGGACCUUCGGGCCACAUGCUAUCGGAUGCGCCUACGUGGGAUUAGCUAGUUGGUGAGGUAAUGGCUCACCAAGGCGACGAUCUCUAGCUGGUUUGAGAGGAUGAUCAGCCACACUGGAACUGAGACACGGUCCAGACUCCUACGGGAGGCAGCAGUGGGGAAUAUUGGACAAUGGGCGCAAGCCUGAUCCAGCCAUGCCGCGUGUGUGAAGAAGGCCUUCGGGUUGUAAAGCACUUUCAGUAGGGAGGAAGCGUUGUGUGUUAAUAGUACACAGCGUUGACGUUACCUACAGAAGAAGCACCGGCUAACUCUGUGCCAGCAGCCGCCGUAAGAC